GGAAAGAUGAAAAGAACUUUGAAAAGAGAGUUAAACAGUACGUGAAAUUGUUGAAAGGGAAACGAUUGAAGUCAGUCAUACCAACGGGAAAUCAACCUUUUGAGUUCGUUCUUGUGGGUUUCGAGGAGUUUAAAAGCCUUCUGAUUUGCUAGGAUUGGGCUCUUUUGGUGUACUUUCUCGUACGGUUAGUCAACAUCGGUUUUGAAUGUCAUAAAAUGACUGGAGGAAUGUGGCUUCGAUCUCGUAUCGAAGUGUUAUAACCUUUGGUAGAUGUGAUGUUCGAGACCGAGGAUUGCAACGGAUACCUUUCGGGCUAUUCGUCUGAUCUCUGAUACGUUGCCUUGAUGUCG
rnacentral:rRNA from 1 species